rnacentral:rRNA from 1 species
ACACAUGCANGCCGAGCGGUAUUUGUUCUUCGGAACAGAGAGAGCGGCGUACGGGUGCGGAACACGUGUGCAACCUGCCUUUAUCAGGGGGAUAGCCUUUCGAAAGGAAGAUUAAUACCCCAUAAUAUUUAGAAUGGCAUCAUUUUAAAUUGAAAACUCCGGUGGAUAGAGAUGGGCACGCGCAAGAUUAGAUAGUUGGUAGGGUAACGGCCUACCAAGUCUACGAUCUUUAGGGGGCCUGAGAGGGUGAUCCCCCACACUGGUACUGAGACACGGACCAGACUCCUACGGGAGGCAGCAGUGAGGAAUAUUGGACAAUGGGUGMGAGCCUGAUCCAGCCAUCCCGCGUGAAGGACGACGGCCCUAUGGGUUGUAAACUUCUUUUGUAUAGGGAUAAACCUUUCCACGUGUGGAAAGCUGAAGGUACUAUACGAAUAAGCACCGGCUAACUCCGUGCCAGCAGCCGCGGUAAUACGGAGGGUGCAAGCGUUAUCCGGAUUUAUUGGGUUUAAAGGGUCCGUAGGCGGAUCUGUAAGUCAGUGGUGAAAUCUCACAGCUUAACUGUGAAACUGCCAUUGAUACUGCAGGUCUUGAGUGUUGUUGAAGUAGCUGGAAUAAGUAGUGUAGCGGUGAAAUGCAUAGAUAUUACUUAGAACACCAAUUGCGAAGGCAGGUUACUAAGCAACAACUGACGCUGAUGGACGAAAGCGUGGGGAGCGAACAGGAUUAGAUACCCUGGUAGUCCACGCCGUAAACGAUGCUAACUCGUUUUUGGGUUUUCGGAUUCAGAGACUAAGCGAAAGUGAUAAGUUAGCCACCUGGGGAGUACGAACGCAAGUUUGAAACUCAAAGGAAUUGACGGGGGCCCGCACAAGCGGUGGAUUAUGUGGUUUAAUUCGAUGAUACGCGAGGAACCUUACCAAGGCUUAAAUGGGAAAUGACAGGUUUAGAAAUAGACUUUUCUUCGGACAUUUUUCAAGGUGCUGCAUGGUUGUCGUCAGCUCGUGCCGUGAGGUGUUAGGUUAAGUCCUGCAACGAGCGCAACCCCUGUCACUAGUUGCCAUCAUUAAGUUGGGGACUCUAGUGAGACUGCCUACGCAAGUAGAGAGGAAGGUGGGGAUGACGUCAAAUCAUCACGGCCCUUACGCCUUGGGCCACACACGUAAUACAAUGGCCGGUACAGAGGGCAGCUACACAGCGAUGUGAUGCAAAUCUCGAAAGCCGGUCUCAGUUCGGAUUGGAGUCUGCAACUCGACUCUAUGAAGCUGGAAUCGCUAGUAAUCGCGCAUCAGCCAUGGCGCGGUGAAUACGUUCCCGGGCCUUGUACACACCGCCCGUCAAGCCAUGGAAGUCUGGGGUACCUGAAGUCG